rnacentral:rRNA from 1 species
UACGUAGGUGGCAAGCGUUAUCCGGAUUUAUUGGGCGUAAAGGGAACGCAGGCGGUCUUUUAAGUCUGAUGUGAAAGCCUUCGGCUUAACCGGAGUAGUGCAUUGGAAACUGGGAGACUUGAGUGCAGAAGAGGAGAGUGGAACUCCAUGUGUAGCGGUGAAAUGCGUAGAUAUAUGGAAGAACACCAGUGGCGAAAGCGGCUCUUUGGUCUGUAACUGACGCUGAGGUUCGAAAGCGUGGGUAGCAAACAGG